UAAGGAAUAUUGGUCAAUGGACGCAAGUCUGAACCAGCCAUGCCGCGUGAAGGAUUAAGGUCCUCUGGAUUGUAAACUUCUUUUAUCUGGGGACGAAAAAAGGCGAUUCUUCGUCACUUGACGGUACCAGAUGAAUAAGCACCGGCUAACUCCGUGCCAGCAGCCGCGGUAAUACGGAGGGUGCAAGCGUUAUCCGGAUUCACUGGGUUUAAAGGGUGCGUAGGCGGGCAGGUAAAGUCGUGGUGAAAUCCUAGAGCUUAACUCUAGAACUGCCAUUGAUACUAUCUGUCUUGAAUAUUGUGGAGGUAAGCGGAAUAUGUCAUGUAGCGGUGAAAUGCUUAGAUAUGACAUAGAACACCUAUUGCGAAGGCAGCUUACUACGCAUAUAUUGACGCUGAGGCACGAAAGCGUGGGGAUCAAAGCAGGAUUAGAUACCCUGGUAGUCCACGCCCUAAAACGAUGAUUACUCGACAUUUGUGAUACACUAUAAGUGUCU
rnacentral:rRNA from 1 species